CGGGGUGUAGUACAGCAGUAGUAUACACGCUUCGGGUGCGUGAGACCCGAGUGCGAUUCUCGGCACCCCGA
rfam:Parcubacteria bacterium GW2011_GWA1_47_10 TX71_C0002, whole genome shotgun sequence.